UACAGAGGGGGCAAGCGUUAUUCGGAAUUAUUGGGCGUAAAGGGCGCGUAGGCGGCUUGGCAAGUGGAUGGUGAAAUCCCUCGGCUUAACCGAGGAACUGCCGUCCAAACUGCUUUGCUUGAGACCGGGAGAGGUGAGUGGAAUUCCCAGUGUAGCGGUGAAAUGCGUAGAUAUUGGGAGGAACACCAGUGGCGAAGGCGGCUCACUGGGCCGGUACUGACGCUGAGACGCGAAAGCGUGGGGAGCGAACAGG
rnacentral:rRNA from 1 species